UACGUAGGGUGCGAGCGUUGUCCGGAAUUAUUGGGCGUAAAGGGCUCGUAGGCGGUUUGUCGCGUCGGGAGUGAAAACCUGGGGCUCAACCCCAGGCUUGCGGUCGAUACGGGCAGGCUCGAGUUCGGUAGGGGAGACUGGAAUUCCUGGUGUAGCGGUGAAAUGCGCAGAUAUCAGGAGGAACACCAAUUGCGAAGGCAGCUCGCUGGGACGUUACUGACGCUGAGACGCGAAAGCGUGGGGAGCAAACAGG
rnacentral:rRNA from 1 species